rnacentral:lncRNA from 1 species
UAGUUGCCCGGGGGAUCAUAGGCUAUGUUUGGGGGGCUUUUUAGCUCCCCCGCUUAUAAGCAACAGUGGGAGUAGUGUUUGGUAAAUCAGCUUCACACUAGCUUCUUCCAGAAGCCAGGGCUUUUAAGCUGGAAGAGCAGAAGCCAGGGCACCCCUGCUUUUAGAAGCAGGCACUGGCUUUUCCACUGUAGCGGGAGUUACUGUAGUUUAAUGAACAUUUCGAAAUACCGGGUUGUGUCCUCUCUUCCCUUCAGCAAUUACACCACACUGCCAUCAUACCCUUCUCUUCCGUGUUGAAAACUGAAACCUCCAGCGCCGCGCAGUGAACACUGCUCUUGCAUCUCGCUGACUGCCUCCUCUCAUUCGUGUUCGAAGCCUCAAUCCAAUCCCCAGAUCUUCGUACCAGGCUCUGAAAAUUGAAACCUCUGCAGCCUCUGUUCCUCAUUCCAUAAAGAUGGAGCUUUUGCAAAGGACUUGUACGAAAAAUACUGGGAAGAUCAUCCUGGCCAUGUAGUCCCACUUAUGAAGCCCAAGUUUUAUGGAGGACCUUGGAAGGUAGAAAGAGGAGAGGUUCCGGCCAGUCUCCCACCCCCAUAGACAAGUUUGAGAAAUUGUUUAAGAGUUUCUACUAGCAUUUGCAAUCUUCUGUUAUUGAAUGUCAAGGGCUUAUUGUGCCAAGAAGAAAGAAAAUGAGAAAAACAAUAUGAUUGGUGUACUAUUUGGUACUUCUGGUAAUUAUCCCAACUUGAUCUAUUUUAAGUCUUUAUCUUUUGAAACUCAGUCAAAAAUAACUUGAAGGAACAUUCACCUAACACGUACCAACUGGUCAUGGUGCUAAUAUAACUUGAUGGAUGAUGAUGUAGAAGAAUAUCAUGGUGAUGGUGCACAAGAAAUGCAAACAAUAAGAAAUAGCAUUACUCAAAGUUUGAUGACUGCGAGUAAUAACGUGGACAUUUGAAUAUAUUAUGAUAUUUUUUGUGGUUACUUGAU